UCCGGUUUGUCACCGGCAGUCCCAUUAGAGUGCCCAACUAAAUGUAGCAACUAAUGGCAAGGGUUGCGCUCGUUGCGGGACUUAACCCAACAUCUCGCGACACGAGCUGACGACAGCCAUGCAGCACCUCUGCUAGCUCCUGACUUUACAGGUCGUCCCGAUUUUCAUCAGUUCUACUUCUAGCAGUUCAAGCCCAGGUAAGGUUCUUCGCGUUGCGUCGAAUUAAGCCGCAUGCUCCGCCGCUUGUGCGGGCCCCCGUCAAUUCCUUUGAGUUUCAACCUUGCGGUCGUACUCCCCAGGCGGGGUACUUCCUGCGUUAGCGCCGGCACCCAGAGGGUCGCUCCCCCAGGCACCUAGUACCCAUCGUUUACGGCGUGGACUAC
rnacentral:misc_RNA from 1 species